rnacentral:rRNA from 1 species
UCUGGGCGUAAGCGUGCGUAGGCGGCUUUUUAGUCGGAUGUGAAAUCCCUGAGCUUAACUUGGGAAUUGCAUUCGAUACUGGGAAGCUAGAGUAUGGGAGAGGAUGGUAGAAUUCCAGGUGUAGCGGUGAAAUGCGUAGAGAUCUGGAGGAAUACCGAUGGCGAAGGCAGCCAUCUGGCCUAAUACUGACGCUGAGGUACGAAAGCAUGGGGAGCAAACAGGAUUAGAUACCCUGGUAGUCCAUGCCGUAAACGAUGUCUACUAGCCGUUGGGGCCUUUGAGGCUUUAGUGGCGCAGCUAACGCGAUAAGUAGACCGCCUGGGGAGUACGGUCGCAAGACUA